rnacentral:tRNA from 1 species
ACCUGACUAGCUCAGUCGGUAGAGUGUGAGACUUUUGAUCUUGGGGUUGUAAGUUUGAGCCCCAUGUUGGGCA